rnacentral:rRNA from 1 species
GACGUAGGGCGCGAGCGUUGUCCGGAUUUAUUGGGCGUAAAGAGCUCGUAGGCGGCUUGUUGCGUCGACCGUGAAAACCCGGGGCUCAACUUCGGGCUUGCGGUCGAUACGGGCGGGCUAGAGUUCGGUAGGGGAGACUGGAAUUCCUGGUGUAGCGGUGAAAUGCGCAGAUAUCAGGAGGAACACCGAUGGCGAAGGCAGCUCGCUGGGACGGUACUGACGCUGAGGCGCGAAAGCGUGGGGAGCAAACAGG